AGUGAACGCUGGCGGUAGGCCUAACACAUGCAAGUCGAACGGCAGCACAGUAAGAGCUUGCUCUUACGGGUGGCGAGUGGCGGACGGGUGAGGAAUACAUCGGAAUCUACUUUUUCGUGGGGGAUAACGUAGGGAAACUUACGCUAAUACCGCAUACGACCUACGGGUGAAAGCAGGGGAUCUUCGGACCUUGCGCGAUUGAAUGAGCCGAUGUCGGAUUAGCUAGUUGGCGGGGUAAAGGCCCACCAAGGCGACGAUCCGUAGCUGGUCUGAGAGGAUGAUCAGCCACACUGGAACUGAGACACGGACCAGACUCCUACGGGAGGCAGCAGUGGGGAAUAUUGGACAAUGGGCGCAAGCCGGAUCCAGCCAUACCGCGUGGGUGAAGAAGGCCUUCGGGUUGUAAAGCCCUUUUGUUGGGAAAGAAAAGCAGCAGGUUAAUACCCCGCUGUUCUGACGGUACCCAAAGAAUAAGCACCGGCUAACUUCGUG
rnacentral:rRNA from 1 species